AACGAACGCUGGCGGCAGGCUUAACACAUGCAAGUCGAACGCCCCGCAAGGGGAGUGGCAGACGGGUGAGUAACGCGUGGGAAUCUACCCAUCUCUACGGAACAACUCCGGGAAACUGGAGCUAAUACCGUAUACGCCCUACGGGGGAAAGACUUAUCGGGGAUGGAUGAGCCCGCGUUGGAUUAGCUAGUUGGUGGGGUAAAGGCCUACCAAGGCGACGAUCCAUAGCUGGUCUGAGAGGAUGAUCAGCCACAUUGGGACUGAGACACGGCCCAAACUCCUACGGGAGGCAGCAGUGGGGAAUAUUGGACAAUGGGCGCAAGCCUGAUCCAGCCAUGCCGCGUGAGUGAUGAAGGUCUUAGGAUUGUAAAGCUCUUUCACCGAUGAAGAUAAUGACGGUAGUCGGAGAAGAAGCCCCGGCUAACUUCGUGCCAGCAGCCGCAGUAA
rnacentral:rRNA from 1 species